rnacentral:ncRNA from 1 species
GUUAAGUUUUAUUCUUGCUUUAUUCGUUCAAUUUUUGUUUGUUUUAUAUGUAAGUUUUUGCGUGUAUCUUUCUUUUUCUCUAGAUGGGGCUAGAUUUGAUUUAGGUUAAUUAAUUCUCAUUAGUUAUUAUUGGAUGUUCAAGUAUUCUUGUAUUUAGCAAUUCUUUCUUGCUUCGGUUAAAUUUUGUGCCAGCAGCCGCGGUUAUACCUUGGAGGCGUUUGAAUGUGUUCGGUGUUGUAGUUAUAUGUUUAUUUUGAUUGGUUUUAUUUUGUUUAUUUAUUAGGUGAAAUUUUUAUUUUUAUUUUAUUCCUUUUGAUUGUUUGGAGGCUAUGAAAUUCCUUUUAUAGACUAGGAUUAGAUACCCUAUUAUUUUGGGAUGUUAAUUUUUGUGUCUGAGUAGUAUUAGUUAUGUUCUUGAAACUUAAAGAAUUUGGCGGUAUCUUAUUCCAUCCAGAGGAAUCUGCCCCGUUAUCGAUAGUCCGCGUUGGACCUUACUUAGUUGCUUUGGUUUGUAUACCGCCGUUUAUUGAUUAUCUUUUUAGAGUUUUAAUUUUCUGGUUUCUUUAUUUUGAUUUAUUUCAGGUCAAGGUGCAGCUUGUUUCUAAGUGGAAUGGUGGAUUACAUUGAUAUUCGUUUAUUGGAUUAUUGAUUUUAAUAUUGGUAUGAAAUUGGAUUUGGUUGUAAUGUUUUAUAGAUUGUUUUCAUGAUAAUUGGUUCUGGGAUAUGUACACAUCGCCCGUCGCUCUCGUUUUAUUGUUAAUGAGAUAAGUCGUAACAAAGUGGUUGUACCGGAAGGUGCGGCUGGAUUGAU